GACGAACGCUGGCGGCGUGCUUAACACAUGCAAGUCGAACGGAAAGGCCCUGCUUUUGUGGGGUGCUCGAGUGGCGAACGGGUGAGUAACACGUGAGUAACCUGCCCUUGACUUUGGGAUAACUUCAGGAAACUGGGGCUAAUACCGGAUAGGAGCUCCUGCUGCAUGGUGGGGGUUGGAAAGUUUCGGCGGUUGGGGAUGGACUCGCGGCUUAUCAGCUUGUUGGUGGGGUAGUGGCUUACCAAGGCUUUGACGGGUAGCCGGCCUGGGGGGGUGACCGGCAAAAGUGGGAAUGAGAAAAGGCAGGGACUACGAGGGGAGGAAGAGGGGGGAAUGAUGGAAAAGGGGGGGGAGGCUGGAGGCAGCACGGCCGGGGGGGGGAGGAGGGCCUGCGGGGUGGAAACCGCUUUCGCCGGGGAAGAAGGGGGGGGGAGGGAAGGGGAUAAAGAAAAACCGGAAAACACCGUC
rnacentral:rRNA from 1 species